rnacentral:rRNA from 1 species
GACGGAGGGUGCGAGCGUUGUUCGGAUUGACUGGGCGUAAAGGGCGUGUAGGCGGUCGGCCAAGUCUGGUGUGAAAGCCCGGGGCUCAGCUCCGGAAGUGCGCCGGAAACUAGCUGGCUGGAGCGCGGUAGGGGAGGGUGGAAUUCCUGGUGUAGCGGUGAAAUGCGUAGAUAUCAGGAGGAACACCUGUGGUGUAGACAGCUUUCUGGACCAUUGCAGCGCUGAGACACGAAAGCGUGGGGAGCAAACAGG